rnacentral:rRNA from 1 species
GAUGAACGCUAGCGGUAGGCUUAACACAUGCAAGUCGAACGGUAACAUGAGAGCUUGCUCUUGAUGACGAGUGGCGAACGGGUGCGUAACACGUAUGCAACUUGCCCCUAACAAAGGAAUAGCCCAGAGAAAUCUGGAUUAAUACCUUAUAAUAUCAUUUUUUCGCAUGAUUAGAUGAUUAAAACUCCGGUGGUUAGGGAUGGGCAUGCGCCCCAUUAGUUUGUUGGUGAGGUAAUGGCUCACCAAGACUACGAUGGGUAGGGGGUCUGAGAGGAUGGUCCCCCACACUGGUACUGAGACACGGACCAGACUCCUACGGGAGGCAGCAGUGAGGAAUAUUGGGCAAUGGACGAAAGUCUGACCCAGCCAUACCGCGUGAAGGAAGAAUGCCCUCUGGGUUGUAAACUUCUUUUAUAUGCCAAGAAACCCCUCUACGUGUAGAGGGCUGACGGUAGCAUAUGAAUAAGCACCGGCUAACUCCGUGCCAGCAGCCGCGGUAAUACGGAGGGUGCAAGCGUUAUCCGGAUUUAUUGGGUUUAAAGGGUUCGUAGGCGGAUCAAUAAGUCAGUGGUGAAAGCCUGUGGCUCAACCAUAGAACUGCCAUUGAUACUGUUGAUCUUGAGUACACUUGAAGUGGGCGGAAUGCGUCAUGUAGCGGUGAAAUGCAUAGAUAUGACGCAGAACACCGAUUGCGAAGGCAGCUCACUAAAUUGUAACUGACGCUGAGGAACGAAAGCGUGGGGAGCGAACAGGAUUAGAUACCCUGGUAGUCCACGCCGUAAACGAUGAUUACUCGAUAUUGGCGAUAUAAUGCCAGUGUCCAAGCGAAAGUGUUAAGUAAUCCACCUGGGGAGUACGGUCGCAAGAUUGAAACUCAAAGGAAUUGACGGGGGCCCGCACAAGCGGUGGAGCAUGUGGUUUAAUUCGAUGAUACGCGAGGAACCUUACCUGGGCUUAAAUGUAUUUUGACAGACUGGGAAACCAGUCCUUCUUCGGACAAUUUACAAGGUGCUGCAUGGUUGUCGUCAGCUCGUGCUGUGAGGUGUCGGGUUAAGUCCCAUAACGAGCGCAACCCCUAUCCUUAGUUGCCAGCGAGUAAUGUCGGGGACUCUAAGGAAACUGCCGGUGCAAACCGUGAGGAAGGUGGGGAUGACGUCAAAUCAUCACGGCCCUUACGUCCAGGGCUACACACGUGCUACAAUGGCAUAUACAAAGGGCAGCUACUUGGUGACAAGAUGCUAAUCUCUAAAGUAUGUCUCAGUUCGGAUCGAAGUCUGCAACUCGACUUCGUGAAGCUGGAAUCGCUAGUAAUCGCGUAUCAGCAAUGACGCGGUGAAUACGUUCCCGGGCCUUGUACACACCGCCCGUCAAGCCAUGGAAGUUGGGAGUGCCUGAAGUCGGUGACCGCAAGGAGCUGCCUAAGGUAAAACUAGUAACUGGGG